rnacentral:SRP_RNA from 1 species
GCCGGGCGCGGUGGCGCGCGCCUGUAAUCCCAGCUACUCGGGAGGCUGAGGCUGGAGGAUCGCUUGAGCCCAGGAGUUCUGGGCUGCAGUGCGCUAUGCCGAUCGGGGGUCCGCACUAAGUUCGGCAUCAAUAUGGUGACCUCCCGGGAGUGGGGGACCACCAGGUUGCCUAAGGAGGGGUGAACCGGCCCAGGUCGGAAACGGAGCAGGUCAAAACUCCCGUGCUGAUCAGUAGUGGGAUCGCGCCUGUGAAUAGCCACUGUACUCCAGCCUGGGCAACAUAGCGAGACCCUGUCUCUU